UACGGGGGGGGCAAGCGUUGUUCGGAAUUACUGGGCGUAAAGGGCUCGUAGGCGGCCAACUAAGUCAGACGUGAAAUCCCCAGGCUUAACCUGGGAACUGCGUCUGAUACUGGAUGGCUUGAAUUCGGGAGAGGGAUGCAGAAUUCCAGGUGUAGCGGUGAAAUGCGUAGAUAUCUGGAGGAACACCGGUGGCGAAGGCGGCAUCCUGGACCAUGACUGACGCUGAGGAGCGAAAGCCAGGGGAGCAAACGGG
rnacentral:rRNA from 1 species